rnacentral:rRNA from 1 species
CCUACGGGAGGCAGCAGUGGGGAAUAUUACUCAAUGGGCGAAACCCUGAUGCAGCGACGCCGCGUGAGCGAUGACGUCUUUCGGUAUUUAAAGCUCUAUUAGCAGGGAAGAAGAUGACGGUACCUGAAUAAUUAGCCACGGCUAACUACGUGCCAGCAGCCGCGGUCAUACGUCAGGGGGACGCGUUAUACCGGUUUACUUGGUGUAAAGGGGGCGUUAGGGGGGAUGCAAGGUGGGUGUGAAAGCCCCGGGCUGAACCCCGGCACUGCAGUUGAAACUGUGUGGCUGGAGUUUGGGAGAGGCAGGCGGAAUUCGUAGUGUAGCGGUGAAAUGCAUAGAUAUUAGGCAGAACACCAGUGGCGAAGGCGGCCUGCUGG